GACGAACGCUGGAGGCGUGCUUAACACAUGCAAGUCGAACGAUGAAAUGGAGCUUGCUCCAUGGAUUAGUGGCGAACGGGUGAGUAACACGUGAAUAACCUGCCCUUAAUUUUGGAAUAACCCAGGGAAACCUGGGCUAAUACCGGAUAAGUAAACCUGUGGCAUCACAUGGUUUUGGAAAGUUUUUCGAUUAAGGAUGGAUUCGCGGCCUAUCAGCUUGUUGGUGAGGUAAUGGCUCACCAAGGCGACGACGGGUAGCCGGCCUGAGAGGGUGAAGAGCCACACUGGGACUGAGACACGGCACAGACUCCUACGGGAGGCAGCAGUGGGGAAUAUUGCGCAAUGGACGAAAGUCUGACGCAGCGACGCCUCGUGAGGGACGAAGGUCUUCGGAUUGUAAACCUCUUUCAGCAGGGACGAAGCGAAAGUGACGGUACCUGCAGAAGAAGCACCGGCUAACUAUGUGCCAGCCGCCGCGGUAA
rnacentral:rRNA from 1 species